GACGUAGGGCGCGAGCGUUGUCCGGAUUUAUUGGGCGUAAAGAGCUCGUAGGCGGCUUGUCGCGUCGUCCGUGAAAACUUGGGGCUCAACCCCAAGCCUGCGGUCGAUACGGGCUAGCUAGAGUGUGGUAGGGGAGAUCGGAAUUCCUGGUGUAGCGGUGAAAUGCGCAGAUAUCAGGAGGAACACCGGUGGCGAAGGCGGAUCUCUGGGCCAUUACUGACGCUGAGGAGCGAAAGCGUGGGGAGCGAACAGG
rnacentral:rRNA from 1 species